rnacentral:rRNA from 1 species
CACGCAGGCGGUUGUGCAAGUCUGGUGUGAAAGACCUGGGCUCAACUCAGGGGACGCGCUGGAAACUGCACGACUAGAAUCUUGGAGGGGGAGUUGGAAUUCCUAGUGUAGGGUGAAAUCUGUUGAUAUUAGGAAGAACACCGGUGGCGAAGGCGAACUCCUGGCUGUAGAUUGACGCUGAGGUGCGAAAGCAUAGGGAGCAAACAGGAUUAGAUACCCUGGUAGUCUAUGCUGUAAACGAUGUGCACUUGGUGUUGGGCCGAUUAGGUUCAGUGCCGUAGCUAACGCGAUAAGUGCACCGCCUGGGGAGUAUGCCCGCAAGGGUGAA